rnacentral:sRNA from 1 species
AGCCUAACCCUUGGGAAAUCCCCGAGAUAUGGCAAAAACCCCCACCACAGGUUCAUUAAGCUCCUCGUCAGAGCACCUGUGGUGGGUCUUAUCUCGAAAGGGAUUUGGGUAGCCGUAAGGCUAUC